rnacentral:rRNA from 1 species
GAUGAACGCUGGCGGCGUGCCUAAUACAUGCAAGUCGAGCGAACGGACGAGAAGCUUGCUUCUCUGAUGUUCGAGGCGGACGGGUGAGUAAAACGUGGAUAAACUACCUAUAAGACUGGGAUAACUUCGGGAAACCGGAGCUAAUACCGGAUAAUCUUUUGAACCGCAUGGUUCAAAAGUUUAAGACGGUCUUGCUGCCACUUAUAGAUGGAUCCGCGCUGCAUUAGCUAGUUGGUAAGGUAACGGCUUACCAAGGCAACGAUGCAUAGCAGACCUGAGAGGAUGAUCGGCCACACUGGAACUGAGACACGGUCCAGACUCCUACGGGAGGCAGCAGUAGGGAAUCUUGCGCAAUGGGCGAAAGCCUGACGGAGCAACGCCGCGUGUGUGAUGAAGGUCUUCGGAUCGUAAAACUCUGUUAGUAGGGAAGAAGAGAUGUAUAAGUAACUGUGCACAUCUUGACGGUACCUAAUCAGAAAGCCACGGCUAACUACGUG